rnacentral:rRNA from 1 species
GAGUUUGUCGGUUGGUCGGGCUUCAUUGUCCGCACUGACCUGAUGGAUUCCUACCUUCUGAAUAACCAGCAUGCUAUUAAGUUAGUGCGUUGGGGAAGCAGAGCUAUUACCUUGAAAAAAUUAGAGUGCUUAAAGCAGGCUUAUGCUUGAAUAGAUUAGCAUGGAAUAAUAAAAUAGGACGGCAUGGUUCUAUUUUGUUGGUUUCUAGGAUCACCGUAAUGAUUAAUAGGGAUAGUUGGG